rnacentral:rRNA from 1 species
GACGAACGCUGGCGGCGUGCUUAACACAUGCACGUCGAACGAAGUGGCGAACGGGUGAGUAACGCGUAAUCAACCUGCCCUUCAGAGGGGGACAACAGUUGGAAACGACUGCUAAUACCGCAUACAGAUUGAGGGGAUUGCGUCUGAUUGGCUAGUUGGAGGGGUAACGGCCCACCAAGGCGAUGAUCAGUAGCCGGUAUGAGAGGAGGGACGGCCACAUUGGGACUGAGAAACGGCCCAGACUCCUACGGGAGGCCGCAGUGGGGAAUCUUCCGCAAUGGACGAAAGUCUGACGGAGCAACGCCGGGGGAGUGAUGACGGCCUUCGGGUUGUAAAGCUCUGUUAAUCGGGACGCGGUACCGGAAUAGAAAGCCACGGCUAACUACGUGCCAGCAGCCGCGGUAAUAC